rnacentral:tRNA from 1 species
GAGGGUGUAGUUCAGUGGUAGAGCACGUGCUUAGCAUGUACAAGGUCCUAGGUUCAAUCCCUAGUACCUCCA